UUUGAUGCCCAAAAUGUUGCAUUUUUUUCUCUUGCUUCAAAUUAGAAUUUACCCUCCGCUUCCAACCUUCACUGGAACCUAGAAAAAUGGUUUCUCUUUACACCGUGGCUUUCCUGCUCAUGAUGACUCUUCCUCCAUUAAUAUCGGGACAAAAAGACAUUUCUAAUCAGAACUGCCCUGGGGGAGAGAAAAGUGAGAAUAUGCCUCCUGGCAAAACGCAUCUGGUGCAACUAGAUUUGUUUUCCGUAAAAAAUCCAAUAAGAAUGUACAAACUGAAAGGGAACAGAAAUAUUUAGUGAUAAUAUAGACUUAUAUUAUAUAUAUAAUAUAUAUAUAUAUAUAUAUAUAUAUUACAUAAUAAAGGCUGCAAAGAAAAUUACAACAACA